CAGCACAGCCUGGAAAGGGGGAUGGGAG
rnacentral:piRNA from 1 species